UCCCUCAUGUACUUGCAUUUAGAUAGAACUUUAGGGGAACAGAAUGUAUUCAUAAAAAAACAGUUGACAUUGACUUUCCAGUCAAAGCAAAGUACCCUACCUUGGUUUACAAUAUGUCUCUUCUAAGAGCUCUGUUGGGAAGGUUAAAAAAAAAAAAAAACUUCUGUUUUGGCCAUAGAAUUAUUUUAUUUAUACUUUUAAGAUCCAUGAAUAUUAAAAUAAUACAAAUUUUCUGUGAUAAUUCAAAAUUAUAAAAUUUGAAUAAGGGCUAAACUCAUAUUUUCCUACACUGACUAGACCUUUUCUUAUGAAAUAGUUGAAUUAAUACUAGCUACUCAUCCAUCAUCAGAAAUGAUUCAUGGUACUACAUUAAAAAAAAGCGUGUUUUAUAUCAGUUCUUCAGUCUGUUUUACACCUCUUUGACCAGUCUGAAAUUUGUAUCAGGCUUGCAAUGGACAUUUAGAGGUUUGCUUAGUUCUGUUUCAAAGGAAGAAUGUGAUUUGGGAAGAUUAAUUCUUAAUGUUGUUGCUGUAAUUCUUAAUAUUGUUGCUAAUUCUUAAUAUUGCUGCAGUGCAUGUGGUGUCAGGUUUGCUUCCUACCCCAUCAUCCCUCGUCAGCUAGUAAGGUCUUUGGGAAUCUGAGUUUGCUCUUUAACAGAAACGAGUCUAAUUCAGAUUAGGAGAUUCUUUUUAAGUGUUAUGUCAAGGUAAAGAUAAAAUAGGAGGCUAACCCAUCUGAACUUCACAAAUACUACUGGUAAUGGUUGGACUAUGUCCUUCAAAAAUUCAUAGGCUGAAGUCCUAACCCUUAGUAUUUCAGAGUGUGACUUUAUUGGGAAAGAGGUCAUUGUUUGCAGAUGUAAUUAGUUAAGAUGAGGUGAUAUUGCAGUAGGGUGGGUUCUAAUCCAGUAUGACUGGUGUCCCUACUAAAGGGGGGAAUCUGGCCAAAGGCACACAGGGAGAAUGUGUAUGCAGGCAGAAAUCAGGGAGAUGUAGCAGAGGCCAAAGAAUGCCCAAGAUUGCCAGCAGAACUAGAGAAGAGGCAUGGAAGAGAUGCUCUCCCAGCCAUCAGAAGGAACUGUAAUCAGACUAUUGUCCCAGAAUCAGACUCCUGACCCUCCUGAAUAAAGACCAACUACUCUUAAAUUAGUUUCAAAAGGAAGCUGCAAAGAGAGAAAAUAAGAACUGGUUAGAACCAACUAGGCCCAAGAUGGAGGAAGAUUUGACUUCCAGAAGAACUUGAGCCUCAUUGCGUGCUCAUUGUAUUACCUUAGCACGCUGAAUGACACACCCACCAAUGCCAGGACAGUUGAUGGUUGCCAUGACAACAACCGGAAGCGCUCAGACAAGGACUGAAAAGGAGAGCUGCAUGCGUCCCAGGUCCACACCAAAUUCAUCUGUAGCUGCCCAAGAGCUGCUUCUGCCAUGAGAUAGAUGGUAAGCUCUACGAAUUCAGAAGUCAUGGGAACAUGUUAAAAAUAACAGACCACAUCUGCUGUAUCCUCAAGGGUUGAGCUGAGUACCAGGGAGGACAGCUGAAAUGGGUCGGGACGCUCGGGCAGCCCCGUGAAGCCCACAUUCUGGUGAACUGAGGCCUCUGCCAGCAUCAUCUGAGGAAGCCAUUUUGGAAGUGGAGCCUCUAAUUGUGGUCAGCUCAGCAGACGACUCCUCACCAAGUUGCAGCUCUGGCUGACAGCUUGACUGCAACCCCUUGAGAUCUCUUGAGCCAGAAGCUCCUAGCUAAGCUGUUCC